rnacentral:rRNA from 1 species
GUGCCAGCCGCCGCGGUAAUACGUAGGGAGCAAGCGUUGUUCGGAUUUACUGGGCGUAAAGGGCGCGUAGGCGGCGCGGUAAGUCACUUGUGAAAUCUCUGAGCUUAACUCAGAACGGCCAAGUGAUACUGCAGUGCUAGAGUGCAGAAAGGGCAAUCGGAAUUCUUGGUGUAGCGGUGAAAUGCGUAGAUAUCAAGAGGAACACCUGAGGCGAAGGCGGGUUGCUAGGCUGACACUGACGCUGAGGCGCGAAAGCCAGGGGAGCAAACGGGAUUAGAAACCCCCGUAGUCC